rnacentral:rRNA from 1 species
UUGAGGGACUUGCUCCUCAAGUUAGUGGCGCACGGGUGAGUAACGCGUAGAUAAUCUGCCUGAUGAUCCGGGAUAACACUUCGAAAGGGGUGCUAAUACCGGAUAAGCCCACGGGGUCUUUGGACUCUGCGGGAAAAGGGGGGGACCUUCGGGCCUUCUGUCAUCAGAUGAGUCUGCGUACCAUUAGCUAGUUGGUAGGGUAAUGGCCUACCAAGGCUACGAUGGUUAGCUGGUUUGAGAGAAUGAUCAGCCACACUGGAACUGAGACACGGUCCAGACUCCUACGGGAGGCAGCAGUGGGGAAUUUUGCGCAAUGGGCGAAAGCCUGACGCAGCAACGCCGCGUGAGUGAUGAAGGCUUUCGGG